GGGUGCGAUCGUACCAGCACUAAUGCACCGGAUCCCAUCAGAACUCCGAAGUUAAGCGUGCUUGGGCGAGAGUAGUACUAGGAUGGGUGACCUCCUGGGAAGUCCUCGUGUUGCACUCC
rnacentral:rRNA from 1 species